rnacentral:lncRNA from 1 species
UCUCUCUGAAAAUUUUUGGGGGCGCGCGGAUCCUCUCUCUCGGCUGGUUCCCGUUCUCUGGGCAAAACGCCAAGAACGGAUUGGGAGACUCCCUCUCUUCCGCCGUAACAACCUCCUCUCUCUCUGGAUUUCUUCCCGAUCUCGGAGGCCGACGAAGGACCCUCCAGCACCAGCCAUGGCUCUGCUCUCUCCCUCAACGAUCGCUUCCAGCUCCAGAAGUUCUCAAUCGGAUGUUUUCCGGCUCGUUCUCGGAAAUUGAACGCUCGCUCGCUUGAUCGUCGGCUCUCG